rfam:Beta vulgaris subsp. vulgaris chromosome 1, whole genome shotgun sequence.
AAGGAUCCACCAAAUAUUAGACUUCUUUUUGAUAUACAUCAGGAAUAGUCUCAGGUAGACAGUUUAUAUGGGGCGUAGGCCUCCCAAAAGGUAAUGGAGGCAUGCAAAGGUUUCCUUGGGCCGCACGGAGAUUGGCCCUCGAGUGCAAAGGAGCUUGACUGCAAGACCCACACGUCGAGUUGGCACGAAAGUCGACUUGGUGAUCCGACGGUGCUGAGUGGAAGGGACAUCGCUCAACGGAUAAAAGUUACUCUAGGGAUAACAUGCUGAUCUUCCCCAAGAGUUCACAUCGACGGGAAGGUUUGGCACCUCGAUGUCGGCUCUUCGCCACGUGGGGCUGUAGUAUGUUACAAUGGUUGGCUGUUUACCCAUUAAAGCGGUACGUGAGUUGGGUUCAGAACGUCGUGAGAUAGUUCUGUC